UUUCGUUCGGACCUCCGAUCAAGCAAGAG
rnacentral:rRNA from 1 species